AGGAGGAACAGCCCCAGUGGCGGGGCAGCUCUAAAAACCUGGAUUCAGCUCCGGCAGGAACUCCGUCUGCAGGGCCUGGAGGCUCCGGGGCGGG
rnacentral:pre_miRNA from 1 species